AGGACGAACGCUGGCGGCGUGCUUAACACAUGCAAGUCGAACGAGGUUUAAUCAAUCGCAAGAACGAGGACGACCUAGUGGCGAACGGGUGCGUAACACGUGAGGAACCUAUCCCAGUCUCUGGAAUAACAAGUGGAAACACUUGCUAAUACCGGAUGUCGUUGGAGCACCGCAUGGUGGACCAACGAAAGAUUUAUCGGUCUGGGAGGGCCUCGCGGCCUAUCAGCUAGUUGGUGAGGUAACGGCUCACCAAGGCGUCGACGGGUAGCUGGUCUGAGAGGAUGAUCAGCCACACUGGGACUGAGACACGGCCCAGACUCCUACGGGAGGCAGCAGUGGGGAAUCUUGCACAAUGGGCGAAAGCCUGAUGCAGCAACGCCGCGUGAGGGAUGAAGGCCUUCGGGUCGUAAACCUCUUUCGGCAGGGACGAAGCGAUCAGUGACGGUACCUGCAGAGAAGCCCGGCUAACUACGUGCCAGCAGCCG
rnacentral:rRNA from 1 species